GGCAGCUUGGCAUAGUGGUUUCAGCGCUGGACUAGGACUCUGGAGACCAGGGUUCAAAUCCCAGAUCAGCCG